UACGUAGGGACCGAGCGUUGUCCGGAAUUAUUGGGCGUAAAGAGCUCGUAGGCGGUUUGUCGCGUCUGCUGUGAAAACUCGGGGCUUAACUCCGGGCCUGCAGUGGGUACGGGCAGACUAGAGUGCGGUAGGGGAGACUGGAAUUCCUGGUGUAGCGGUGAAAUGCGCAGAUAUCAGGAGGAACACCGGUGGCGAAGGCGGGUCUCUGGGCCGUAACUGACGCUGAGGAGCGAAAGCGUGGGGAGCGAACAGG
rnacentral:rRNA from 1 species